CCCCGUUUCUGGACUAAACUUACCAUGCGAGUCCCUAAAGGGCCUCUUCCAGGACUGUCCCAGAUGAGAAGACCUCCUGGGCCCCUCCUCCCUCUCCCCAGGGCGACUGUGAGCUCCGUGGGGCCCAGGACGGCCCCACAGAUUUCCCUGCAGAGAACUGGGCAGAGGCUGACCUCCGCAGGCACCCUGGGCCCCGACCAUUUGACGCUGCUCGCUCUUCUCCAGACGCUCAUCCGACCUGAAGUCACAGGUGCUGGUGCCAUGGCGACAGGUGCAUAGUAACCCACACAUUCUCCAGGCCAGGGCAGAUGGGUUUAUUGCUCUUAGGCUGGGUUAGUGAUGGCUGCACCCGGGACAGUCACAGUCGAAGCCGCCUGGAACACAGGGCCUGACCACCCAGGAGCAGCCACAGGAAGACAGAAGACACGUGGUCACACAUGAGGACACAAUGGCACCCGUGCCCCAAGCUCUGCACAGAGGACACUUGGUCACACGUGGGAACAGGAUGGCACCCACACCCCGAGCUCUGUGCCCUGAUCACUGUCACCUCCCAGGCACUGCCUCACUGAGGACAACGGACUGGCCCGUGUGGCUGGCGGCCGGCACGUAGGCUAGGUCAGAUGAGAGCCACCCUGGGACCCAAACCCCCACAGGCCCCCAGACCCAAUCCCCGAUCACACAGAACAAGCCACUAAGCGUGUGUCCCAGAUGAGCCAACCGUGCUCUCCGCACUCGGGAUGUGGCUGCCCCGCAGGGGUGGGUCCCAGGGGCUGACUUGAGUUGACCAGAUGGACUCUGGAGCAGGGCAGCAGCUCCGCUCUGGAUGGAGUUCAGGGUUUGGUUGGAAGAAGCUGGAGCCAAGAGAUGACACUGGGAAGGGGGCUCCUGGGAGGGGCCGAUGAGAGGGAGAGAAGCGGGAGGACAUGUAUCGCUGGGGUCCAGGAGCAGGGUCCUCACGGGACGCGGGCAGCCAGGAGCAGGAGGUGGGGUGGCGGCUGAGGGGUGUCUGCUGUGGAUGAUGGGGGCCCAGGGAGGAAGGAGGGAAACGUGGAGGGAAUCGGAGGACAGUGUUGAACCCUGAGCACGGGGUGGAGGCCAGGGAGGGGCAGGAGAGAUGGGUCUCAUGGGAGGAAAAAGGAAAGGGGAGGGGGAGGUGCGGGGUCUGGACUGUGGGACGUGGGCUGAGGGGCGGGAGCGUAGGGAGGGGACGCAGGGGUGCCUGACCUUCAGCUCCGUCCCUUGACCUGGCCGGGUGACGGGGCUCCAGAACCCAGAAUCCACCUCCUGGGUGUGUCUCAGGGUAGCUUUGCAGCAGCAGGAGAGAUUUAGGAUCAGGUAAAAGGGUAGAUUCACAGCGGGGCUUCAAAAUAAUCAAUAAAAACAUCCUCAGUGGCAUUAACAACAGUACCCAACCCUACGUGGUUGUAUUAUAUCAAUAUUACUCAUGAUCGACAGCCGUGAUGCGUCCACGCCAUCUUCACAGGACUGCCUCAUUUGCCCUCACAAGGCGAUCGUGUCAAUACGACAGUUAUCUGCAUUUUACAGGUGGGUAAACUGAGGCCUGAGCCGCACGGUUGUGAGUGUGGAAUCCAGGCGCCGGCCUGCCCGACCUGGAGUUGAGCUCUUGCCUCUGACUGUUCCCAGGUUGGGGAGUCCUGCCCGCCUCUCCCAGGAAGCUCCAGCGCCCCCUUCCCUGAAUCCCAGCCUGCAGAGCUUCUCUUCCAGACGCAGGUGCCACCGUUCGCGAUGCUGGGAGCAGAGCCGCCCUGGUCGAUGUCGGGAAAACCUCUCCGUCUUGGUCUGUCUGCACGCUCUCAGUCACAAGCAGGAAAACAGCCUCAGCAUUAAUCCUGGGCAAUAAAUUGCGGUAGACGCACUGCAGGAAAAAUCAGGGCCUGCCCCGUCUCAGCUCUGGGAUUGGGGUCCUGAGUGAUGGAGCAGACGGAAGCCCCCUCGGGAGUCCAGCGGCCCGGGUCGUUACUCUAGGACUAAAGUCCUCACGGAUGAAAAGGCUUAAUUUUUCACUCAGGUGUGAAACAGACCAGGGCUUUCAGCCCUUCUUCUGCUGCAUGUGCAUGACGGAUGCCGGUCAAGUGUGCAGCAGACACACUCCUGGGGGCUGAUGCGGACUCGACAAGCCCAGAAAGGUUCCACCGGGGAGUGAAUAGAGACGGCAGCCCCUGAACACCAGGAUGGACGGCUCUGCUGUGAAGGACUCACCACCCGGACACGAGGCUCCUCCCCAGCCCCUCCCCUGCCUCCCCUGGUGCUCUUGGCUCUCCCUGUGGGCUGCCCCUCCCCACAUUCUGUCCCUUUGGGCCAGGUGGGGCCCUCGCCUUUUUGUACACGUAAAUCACGUGAUGGGGCCCACAUAGUAAACAGACAUCCUCCCUAGGACAGCACUCUGUGGGGUAUGGGUCACAUGACCUCAUCAGGGCCCAUCGGAGCAAGAUCAGGACCACUGCAGAAGCUACUGGGGAAGGACUGUGCUCUUUCUUAAGCACAAGUGAGCUGGGAGGUGCUGCAGCAUUGAUGGGGUCACAGCCAGAGGGGAUUCCGGGGCUCCCAGGGGACAGCAUGUGGGGCCUGAGAUGGAAGCAGCACAGGAGGGAAGAGCUGAGAGCCAGAGAGAGAGAGAGCAGGAGAGAGCACGGCGGAGAGAGAGAGAGAGCCAGAGAAAGAGAGAGGAGAGAGGAGAGAGCAGGGGAAAGAGAGAAGGAGAGAGGUGAGAGCAGGGGAGAAAUAGGAAAAAAGAGAGCAGGAGAGAGCCGGGAAGAGAGAGAGAGAGAGAGAGACCAGGAGAGAGAAAGAGAGCAGGGGAGAGACAGAGAGAGAGAGAUGGAGUGAGAGAGAGAGAGAACGUCCUGGAGAUGUCUCUAGAGGCCAGAACACAGCCAUACCUGAAACCAGCUAGAAUAACCUAGAUUUCUUCACUAUGUGAGCCAACACAUUCCCGGGCAUCUGCUGAUUGGCAUCAGGGUUUCUGAUGCUCCACAGAGAACUGCCCCCAGCUGUUUGCCCUCUCCUGACUGUGGACAGCUGAGCUGGGCAUUUGUCCUGCCAGCUGUGACCCCAGACCCUCCUAUCUGGUGACACAGCGCGUCUGAAUGUAGCAAGGGUGAAGUCACCUACCGUCAAUUACUCUAAUGACCUUUUAUGUAUUAAAAAGUAAAACAUUCCCAAUCUGUGGCACUUGGGUAUUUAGGAAAACAUUACUUGUCACACCACAGAAAACCGUGGUGACACAAAGGUGUGCUUCAGCGCCAUGGAGAAGAGCAGAGCGAACCUGGCUCUAGUGCUGGGCUCUGGCGCUGCCGUGAGCACGUGCUCACCACACGUCCUUGUCGUCUUCUCCGGGGAGAGCCCUGACUUAUCCGAGGCAGCCACAUGCCCUUCUAUCCUGCUGGUUAGGACAUAAAUGUCCCUGCUGCACCCGGGGCUGCCUCUGUGGUGACGAUGAUGCCGAACCUCGGGUGGGGGAGGGAGGCUCAGAAGGGCCUGUGUCCCGAAGCCUGGACCUCCCGGCGCCCUGCCUGUGGGUUAGUUUCUGCAUUAGUUGCUGAUGUCCGUCUCUGGCACUUCCCACCAAGAGCCUGAACCCACACACCUGGGCUCAGUCCCCGAGACACGGGCCACGCGGCACCUGCUAGGGCUUCUGUGUUGAGAUGGUUGCAGUGGACACCAGGAGAGUCGUGGGUGACAGUCGAGAAACUGCCCAAGAACAAUCGCUCAAUCCCGCUGGUUUAAUCACACACUAAAAGCCUAGUCAUUGAAAGAGGGUGACAUCAGGUGGGGGUUCCCCUCCCCUCCCUGGGAAGGGAGCGCGGAGCUCACUUGUGGGUGCUGGAUCCUCACGGC
rnacentral:lncRNA from 10 species